rnacentral:rRNA from 4 species
GGGUUGUGAGGUUAAGCGACUAAGCGUACACGGUGGAUGCCCUGGCAGUCAGAGGCGAUGAAGGGCGUGCUAAUCUGCGAUAAGCGCCGGUAAGGUGAUAUGAACCGUUAUAACCGGCGAUACCCGAAUGGGGAAACCCAGUGUGAUUCGUCACACUAUCAUUAACUGAAUCCAUAGGUUAAUGAGGCGAACCGGGGGAACUGAAACAUCUAAGUACCCCGAGGAAAAGAAAUCAACCGAGAUUCCCCCAGUAGCGGCGAGCGAACGGGGAGGAGCCCAGAGCCUGAAUCAGCAUGUGUGUUAGUGGAAGCGUCUGGAAAGGCGCGCGAUACAGGGUGACAGCCCCGUACACAAAAGCGCAUGUGCUGUGAGCUCGAUGAGUAGGGCGGGACACGUGGUAUCCUGUCUGAAUAUGGGGGGACCAUCCUCCAAGGCUAAAUACUCCUGACUGACCGAUAGUGAACCAGUACCGUGAGGGAAAGGCGAAAAGAACCCCGGCGAGGGGAGUGAAAAAGAACCUGAAACCGUGUACGUACAAGCAGUGGGAGCACCCUUUGGGGUGUGACUGCGUACCUUUUGUAUAAUGGGUCAGCGACUUAUAUUCUGUAGCAAGGUUAACCGAAUAGGGGAGCCGGAGGGAAACCGAGUCUUAACCGGGCGUUAAGUUGCAGGGUAUAGACCCGAAACCCGGUGAUCUAGCCAUGGGCAGGUUGAAGGUUGGGUAACACUAACUGGAGGACCGAACCGACUAAUGUUGAAAAAUUAGCGGAUGACCUGUGGCUGGGGGUGAAAGGCCAAUCAAACCGGGAGAUAGCUGGUUCUCCCCGAAAGCUAUUUAGGUAGCGCCUCGUGAAUUCAUCUCCGGGGGUAGAGCACUGUUUCGGCUAGGGGGCCAUCCCGGCUUACCAACCCGAUGCAAACUGCGAAUACCGGAGAAUGUUAUCACGGGAGACACACGGCGGGUGCUAACGUCCGUCGUGAAGAGGGAAACAACCCAGACCGCCAGCUAAGGUCCCAAAGUCAUGGUUAAGUGGGAAACGAUGUGGGAAGGCCCAGACAGCCAGGAUGUUGGCUUAGAAGCAGCCAUCAUUUAAAGAAAGCGUAAUAGCUCACUGGUCGAGUCGGCCUGCGCGGAAGAUGUAACGGGGCUAAACCAUGCACCGAAGCUGCGGCAGCGA